UACGUAGGGGGCUAGCGUUGUCCGGAAUCAUUGGGCGUAAAGCGCGUGUAGGCGGCUCGGUAAGUCCGCUGUGAAAGUCGAGGGCUCAACCCUCGAAUGCCGGUGGAUACUGUCGGGCUAGAGUGCGGAAGAGGCGAGUGGAAUUCCUGGUGUAGCGGUGAAAUGCGCAGAUAUCAGGAGGAACACCAAUUGCGAAGGCAGCUCGCUGGGACGUAACUGACGCUGAGACGCGAAAGCGUGGGGAGCAAACAGG
rnacentral:rRNA from 1 species